rnacentral:lncRNA from 9 species
CAAAGGCAGAGGGCUGCAGCCUCGUACUGGUUUCCUCCGGCUGCUGCACUGAUUACCACGCACUCGGUGACUGCAGACAACGGGUUCUGACCUCGGCGCUCUGGAGCCGGGAGGCCUGCCCUUGGCUCUCUCAGGGCUGACAUCAAGGUGUCAGCAGGGCUCUGCGGCUUCGGGAGGCUCCCGCGACGUUGCCCCGCCUUUUCCAGCUUCCAGAAGCGGCCGCAUCGAAGAUCCCGGCAAGGGACAAUGGACCGAAGAGACAUGGCGAGAGAACGGAUGGAAAGGCAGGCAGCACUGACACUGGGGGGACGGAAGUUCAGACCCGGGGAGGCCUCGCGAGGGUGAGGAGCUCCUGCCCGCGGAGCGAGACCCGGGCGGAAGGAGGUCCUGCGGCCGGAGCGACGUUGGCCCUGACGCUGCAGAGGCGGCCCGAUCGAUCGGGGCGCCCGUCCAGGGAGGGCGCUCGGGGGUCGUGGCUUUGGUCCGUGGAGCCGGGGCCACGGGCGAGGAAGACCAAGGAGCCGGGAAUCCAGGGCGCCAGCUGGGUUUCCCUCGGGCCGUGGACGGCCCCCGACGGCGGCCUCUGCGACUGAGCGCCUGCAGGUUCGCUGGGUUUUGCUUGCGAAGAUGCGGAAGCUCAUCUGUCUUCUCCAUACAUGGACCCGAGGGGUGUGAGUCCUCAACUGUGGCGGCUUCUGGGAAUUUUUAUAAGCGGCAAAGGAUCCUCAGGCGCCAGAAGUUUGGCCGCGUGAACCUUGAUUUCCCCGGUUCUCAGCGCCUGAGGGCAGCUGGGAGGACGGACCUCAGAGAUACCGACCGAAACCCUGAAGAAUGCAGUGAUGGACGGCCCAGGACGCGUCUCCAAGUCGAGGCCGAGCUUGAGCUGCUCGUCGCUGAAGCUGGCGAGUCGUCCCUGAGGACAGUCUGUGCUCGUGUGUGUGUUGAAAACACUUCAUUAUAA